CCUACGGGUGGCUGCAGUAGGGAAUAUUGCUCAAUGGGGGAAACCCUGAAGCAGCAACGCCGCGUGGAGGAUGAAGGUUUUCGGAUGGUAAACUCCUUUUGUUAGAGAAGAGAAGGACGGUAGCUAACGAAUAAGCAACGGCUAACUCCGUGCCAGCAGCCGCGGUAAUACGGAGGGUGCAAGCGUUACUCGGAAUCACGGGGCGUAAAGCGCGCGGAGGCGGGAUAGCAAGUCAGAUGUGAAAUCCUCUGGCUUAACCAUAGAACUGAAUUUGAAACUGUUAUUCUAGAGUAUGGGAGAGGUAGGUGGAAUUCUUGGUGUAGGGGUCAAAUCCGUAGAGAUCACGCGGAAUACUCAUUGCGACGGCGACCUGCUAGAACAUAACUGACGCUGAUGCGCGAAAGCGUGGGGAGCAAACAGGAUUAGAUACCCGGGUAGUC
rnacentral:rRNA from 1 species